rnacentral:tRNA from 1 species
GGCUGGUUAGCUCAGUCAGUUGAGCGUAGCGCUAACAACGCUAAAGUCGCGGGUUCGAUUCCCGUUCGGUCC